rnacentral:tRNA from 1 species
GGGGGAUUAGCUCAGCUGGGAGAGCGCCGGCUUUGCAAGCCGGAUGUCAUCAGUUCGAUCCUGAUAUCCUCCA